UACGUAGGGGGCUAGCGUUGUCCGGAAUCAUUGGGCGUAAAGCGCGUGUAGGCGGUCCGGUAAGUCCGCUGUGAAAGUCGGGGGCUCAACCCUCGGAUGCCGGUGGAUACUGUCGGGCUUGAGUACGGAAGAGGCGAGUGGAAUUCCUGGUGUAGCGGUGAAAUGCGCAGAUAUCAGGAAGAACACCCGUGGCGAAGGCGGCUCUCUGGAACGCAACUGACGCUGAGACGCGAAAGCGUGGGGAGCAAACAGG
rnacentral:rRNA from 1 species